UGGCACCAAGCCAAGUGGUUACGGCGACAGAUUCGAAUCUUGAUGUACAUUCAUCUAUUUAGGUUCAAAUCCUGCCGGUGUCAA